rnacentral:lncRNA from 1 species
CCCAUCUUCAAUAUUUGCAGUAACAUCAUCCAAACAAUUUGCAAGAAGUUUGUAAACACUCAAAUUCCAUGCAGAAGGCCACGAAAAGAAUAAACAGAUAUGUAAAGGAAAUUGUAUUCCCUGUCUAGGUACUCCGGAAAAGAAGAGAUUGACUAGGAGUUUUAAAUAAAUACCAAACAAAAGACACUGUCCUCCAAAAUGAUGAGCAGGAGCCAACAUUUGUUAUAAUCUAAGAUUAAGAAUCAGGAAGCAGCAAAGCCUGAACAUAAGUUGAUCGAUAAUCUUCAGGUAGACUAAAAAAGUAGUCGGUCUCUAAAGGAUCAAGGGCAAUUUUCCUCCCUGCCUUUAUAAAUUGGUCUGGACUUAGCCCUUCAAUCUUCAAAAGCUCAGAGUUUACCAUCAUCCUUUUAUUAGCACCAUCUGAUUCGUGUUGGAAGCAACUAGUUAGUUUUGCGAUAUUUUCAUAUUCAGUUUCCAUAACAUUGCUGAUUUUCUGUAGCCCAAAUGUGAGUUCUUUAACAAUUUCCAGUGAAUCUGUUUUGAUUCUUUUACUCCCACGGGCACCUGUAUCUGUAGGCUGCACAUUUCUAGGACUCACCUCAUCUUCAAGAUUAUCUUUUUGUUGUCCAGCUUGUUGAUACAAAUUACUUUCCUCGUCAUUAGCAAUUUCUUCCACUGCAUCAGCUGGACUUUCGACACCUUCCCCG